GACGAACGCUGGCGGCGUGCUUAACACAUGCAAGUCGAACGGGACGUCCCUGCUUUUGUGGGGUGCUCGAGUGGACAACGGGUGAGCUACACGUAAGUAACGUGCCCCUGACUUUGGGAUAACUUCAGGACACUGGGGCUCAUCCCGGCUAGGAUCUCCCGCUGCUUGGUGGGGGUUGGAUAGUUUCGGCGGUUGGGGAUGGACUCGCGGCUUAUCAGGAUGUUGGUGGGGUGGUGGCUUACCAAGGCUUUGACGGGUAGCCGGCCUGAGAGGGUGACCGGGCACAUUGGGACUGAGAUACGGCCAAGACUCAUACGGGAGGGAGAAGUGGGGAAGAUGGCACAAUGAGAGGAAGCGUGAUGCAGCAACAGCGCGUGCGGGAUGACGGCGUACGGGUUAGAAUCCGCUUUCGCUUGUGACGAAGCGUAUAUGGCGGGAAUGGGGAGAGAAGCACCGGCUAACUACGUG
rnacentral:rRNA from 1 species